rnacentral:rRNA from 1 species
CGAAGGGUGCAAGCGUUAAUCGGAAUUACUGGGCGUAAAGCGUGCGUAGGUGGUUUCUUAAGUCUGCUGUGAAAGCCCUGGGCUCAACCUGGGAAUGGCGGUGGAUACUGAGGAGCUAGAGUGCGGUAGAGGAGGGUGGAAUUCCCGGUGUAGCGGUGAAAUGCGUAGAGAUCGGGAGGAACAUCAGUGGCGAAGGCGGCCCUCUGGACCAGCACUGACGCUGAGGCACGAAAGCGUGGGGAGCAAACAGGAUUAGAUACCCUGGUAGUCCACGCCCUAAACGAUGCGGACUGGACGUUGGGCACAAUUCGGUGCUCAGUGUCGAAGCUAACGCGUUAAGUCCGCCGCCUGGGGAGUACGCUCGCAAGAGUG